GACGAACGCUGGCGGCGUGCUUAACACAUGCAAGUCGAACGGAAAGGCCCCUUUGGGGGUACUCGAGUGGCGAACGGGUGAGUAACACGUGAGUAACCUGCCCUUGACUUCGGGAUAACUUCAGGAAACUGGGGCUAAUACCGGAUAGGAAUCCUUGCUGCAUGGUGGGGGUUGGAAAGCUUCGGCGGUUUUGGAUGGACUCGCGGCUUAUCAGCUUGUUGGUGGGGUAGUGGCUUACCAAGGCUUUGACGGGUAGCCGGCCUGAGAGGGCGACCGGCCACAUUGGGACUGAGAUACGGCCCAGACUCCUACGGGAGGCAGCAGGGGGGAAUAUUGCACAAUGGGCGGAAGCCUGAUGCAGCAACGCCGCGGGCGGGAUGACGGCCUUCGGGUUGGAAACCGCUUUCAGCAGGGGCGAAGCUUGUGGUGACGGUACCUGCAGAAGAAGCACCGGCUAACUACGUG
rnacentral:rRNA from 1 species